rnacentral:lncRNA from 1 species
CUUUAUUCAUGCUGCCUGCAUGCUAAACUUCUGGCCUGGGAAAAUUAAACUGAAAAGAUUAAACGUUGGCAAAGUUGGGAUUAUCUAAAAAAAAGGAUCUAACAAGAAGAAAUGCCAAGCAACCUUAAUGGGCAGUGCUACCAACCUCGCCUAUAACAUAUCUCUUUGUUUACUAAGUAAUAUACAAUUAUGAUGAGUGAUUCCAUCUAAGUAGGCAGAGCUGUCAGAACUUGGCUUCCCACACAGCUAACGGAAAGAGGAUCAUAAUAAUUUCUAAAUGCGACUGAUAACGUGGUUUACAUUUUUCACAUUGUUAGCUCAUGCACAUUGGGAUUUCUGGCUGAGAAGAAGGAAAAGAUUUAGCUUCAUUGCUUCUCCUAACAAUCUGAAGAUGGGCUUGGAGAAGAAGAAUCAUACAGCUGACACAGGCUGAUGAUCCUCAUUAGCAUGAAGGCAGGGGGACAGAAGAAGAGUCUUCCAACCCUGAAUGUAUUUAUUCCCAAGGGAAGCAGCAAGGCUGACAAGAGCUUUCAGAAAUGUAAAGGAUUAUUGCCUCAUGAUGGAAUAAAAAGAUUAAUUUAGAAAAGGUCUGUAGCCA